CCUGGGGAGUACGACCGCAAGGUUGAAACUCAAAGGAAUUGACGGGGGCCCGCACAAGCGGUGGAGCAUGUGGUUUAAUUCGAAGCAACGCGAAGAACCUUACCAGGUCUUGACAUCCCGGUGCCCGUCCUAGAGAUAGGAUUUUGCUUCGGCACACCGGUGACAGGUGGUGCAUGGUUGUCGUCAGCUCGUGUCGUGAGAUGUUGGGUUAAGUCCCGCAACGAGCGCAACCCUUAUUGUUAGUUGCCAUCAUUGAGUUGGGCACUCUAGCGAGACUGCCGGUAAUAAACCGGAGGAAGGUGGGGAUGACGUCAAAUCAUCAUGCCCCUUAUGACCUGGGCUACACACGUGCUACAAUGGCUGGUACAACGAGUCGCAAGUCGGUGACGGCAAGCUAAUCUCUUAAAGCCAGUCUCAGUUCGGAUUGUAGGCUGCAACUCGCCUACAUGAAGUCGGAAUCGCUAGUAAUCGCGGAUCAGCACGCCGCGGUGAAUACGUUCCCGGGCCUUGUACACACCGCCCGUCACACCACGAGAGUUUGUAACACCCGAAGUCGGUGAGGUAACCUUUUAGGAGCCAGCCGCCUAAGGUGGGAUAGAUGAUUGGGGUGAAGUCGUAACAAGGUAGCCG
rnacentral:rRNA from 1 species